rnacentral:rRNA from 1 species
AGAGUUUGAUCCUGGCUCAAGAUGAACGCUGGCGGCGUGCUUAACACAUGCAAGUCGAACGAAGCACCUCAGAUCGAUUUCUUCGGAAUGAUCUCUCUGGUGACUGAGUGGCGGACGGGUGAGUAACGCGUGGGUAACCUGCCUCAUACAGGGGGAUAACAGUUAGAAAUGACUGCUAAUACCGCAUAAGCGCACGAUACCGCAUGGUGUCGUGUGAAAAACUCCGGUGGUAUGAGAUGGACCCGCGUCUGAUUAGCUUGUUGGCGGGGUAACGGCCCACCAAGGCGAUGAUUGGUAGCCGGACUGAGAGGUUGAACGGCCACAUUGGGACUGAGACACGGCCCAGACUCCUACGGGAGGCAGCAGUGGGGGAUAUUGCACAAUGGGGGAAACCCUGAUGCAGCAACGCCGCGUGAGUGAAGAAGUAUUUCGGUAUGUAAAGCUCUAUCAGCAGGGAAGAUAAUGACGGUACCUGACUAAGAAGCUCCGGCUAAAUACGUGCCAGCAGCCGCGGUAAUACGUAUGGAGCAAGCGUUAUCCGGAUUUACUGGGUGUAAAGGGUGCGUAGGUGGCAGUGCAAGUCAGAUGUGAAAGGCCGGGGCUCAACCCCGGAGCUGCAUUUGAAACUGCUCGGCUAGAGUACAGGAGAGGCAGGCGGAAUUCCUAGUGUAGCGGUGAAAUGCGUAGAUGUUAGGAGGAACACCAGUGGCGAAGGCGGCCUGCUGGACUGUUACUGACACUGAGGCACGAAAGCGUGGGGAGCAAACCAGAAUUAGAUACCCUGGUAGUCCACGCCGUAAACG